AGAGGACUGAAAAUCCUCGUGUCACCAGU
rnacentral:tRNA from 1 species